AUCGCGUCGCUCCCCCAACACCGUGCAUGAAACACUGUCGGUUGUCGAGGGACGGAUAUUGGCUUCCCGUGCUUCGGUGCGGCUGGCCUAAAUGCAAGUCCCUUGCGACGGACACGACGACAAGUGGUGGUUGAUUACCUCAACUCAGUUGCUGUCGGACGUUGACCCGUCGGAUGAGGAGACUUCCUUGACCCUAAUCGAYGUCAUCACGACGCCUGCCACGACCGC
rnacentral:rRNA from 1 species